UAAAAGCUUAUUCCUCCUUUCCAGACUCUUCUUACCAAGUGAGGAAGACACACGUGGGCAAAUAACAAUGGAAUGAUGUGCUAACUCUCUAACAGGCUUAUGACAAAUAUCUAUAUUGAAUGUACCUAGCAAGAUGGUGGAGAAUGAGGUUUGGGAAGGGUUCUAGAAACUCUUCUCAGAAGAGUGGGCCAGGAGCUAGGACUUUUCCAGGUGUAGAAGGAGGCAUGCAAGGGUUUUCUACCCAGCAUUUUCCUCAGGGAAGAGCCAGGAAGAGAGAGUAGCUCCAAAUAGGAGCCCCCGGACCAAGAUUCCUCAGAACACAUGACAUACGGAAGGUGACUGAAAGAGGAGCAAAGGCGCUUGCUGAAUAUUAGAUACAUGGUUGGGCAGAUGGAGCGUCUACGGUGAAAGAUAUUACAGUAAAAUAAAAUGGAAAUGAGAGUAUAUAAAAGGCAAUGGAGAAAAUAAAUCAAAUUGAGUCACAAAAGACCAUAUCAGAUGUGGUUACCAACCUUGCAUCCCCAAACGAGAGCAAUCCAAACAUCGGAAUACCGGGAAGCACAGAAGUGGGUGCUGGUCGAAGUGCAGGACACGU